ACGAACGCUGGCGGCGUGCUUAACACAUGCAAGUCGAACGAUGAACCGGAGCUUGCUUCGGGGAUUAGUGGCGAACGGGUGAGUAACACGUGAGUAACCUGCCCUUGACUCUGGGAUAAGCGCUGGAAACGGCGUCUAAUACCGGAUACGACCUGCCCCGGCAUCGGGUGCGGGUGGAAAGUUUUUCGGUCAAGGAUGGACUCGCGGCCUAUCAGCUUGUUGGUGAGGUAAUGGCUCACCAAGGCGACGACGGGUAGCCG
rnacentral:rRNA from 1 species